CCAAUAGCGUAUAUUAAAGUUGUUGCAGUUAAAAAGCUCGUAGUUGAAUUUCGGGAUCAGUACGCUGGUCGUGCCUUCGGUAUGAACUGGUGUCACUGGUUUCUCCCUUCUGAAGAACCGUCAUGCCAUUCAGUUGGUGUGGCGGGGAAUCAGGACUGUUACUUUGAAAAAAUUAGAGUGUUUAAAGCAGGCUCGCGCUUGAAUACAUUAGCAUGGAAUAAUGAAAUAGGACGUUUGACCCUAUUUUGUUGGUUUCUAGGAUCGACGUAAUGAUUAAUAGGGAUAGUUGGGGGCAUUAGUAUUCAAUUGUCAGAGGUGAAAUUCUUGGAUUUAUUGAAGACUAACUACUGCGAAAGCAUUUGCCAAGGAUGUUUUCAUUAAUCAAGAACGAAAGUUAGGGGAUCGAAGACGAUCAGAUACCGUCGUAGUCUUAACCAUAAACUAUGCCGACUAGGGAUCGGAUGAUGUUAAUUUUUUAAUGACUCAUUCGGCGCCUUACG
rnacentral:rRNA from 1 species